rnacentral:rRNA from 1 species
CAACUUUCAGCAACGGAUCUCUUGGCUCUCGCAUCGAUGAAGAACGCAGCGAAAUGCGAUAAGUAAUGUGAAUUGCAGAAUUCAGUGAAUCAUCGAAUCCUUGAACGCACCUUGCGCCCCUUGGCUAUUCCGAAGGGCAUGCCUGUUUGAGUAUCAUGA